rnacentral:rRNA from 1 species
GACGAACGCUGGCGGCGUGCCUAAUACAUGCAAGUCGAACGCUUCCUACCGGUGCUUGCACCGGGAAAGAAGAGUGGCGGACGGGUGAGUAACACGUGGGUAACCUACCUACAAGCGGGGGAUAACAUUCGGAAACGGACGCUAAUACCGCAUAGAUCUUUUUGUUUCCUGGCAGAAUGAAGAAAGACGGUUUCGGCUGUCACUUGUAGAUGGACCCGCGGCGCAUUAGUUAGUUGGUGAGGUAAUGGCUCACCAAGACGAUGAUGCGUAGCCGACCUGAGAGGGUGAUCGCACACGCUGAGCAUGAGACCCGGCCCAAACUCCUACGGGAGGCAGCAGUAGGGAAUCUUCCGCACUGGACGAAAGUCUGACGGAGCAACGCCGCGUGAGUGAAGAAGGUUUUCGGAUCGUAAAACUCUGUUGUUAGAGAAGAACAAGGAUGAGAGUAACUGCUCGUCCCUUGACGGUAUCUAACCAGAAAGCCAUGGCUAACUACGUGCCAGCCGCCGCCGUAA